rnacentral:lncRNA from 1 species
AUAUAGAGAGAGAGAGAGAGAGAGAUAGUCUCCUAUACUAUCUAUAGUACCGGGGCUUCGGUACUAUAGUCUCGUUUUCGUUCUUAGGGUAUUCAAAUCAACGAUCCACACCGUUAAAACUGAUCUAGGGUAUUUGAAGUUUUUAGAAAACACUUUAAACUAUCUAGAUUAAGAUUAAAGCUGAUAGAAAAUACUUUAAACUAUCUAGAUUAAGGUUAACAUUCUUGAUAUUGAAUUUAAAAGUCCUAUGCUCAAAUUUUAAAAAUUAUUCAAUUUUUACCGUCUAUUUUGAUAUAAUUUAUUUGCUAAGUAAACGAUGUCGAAAAAAAUUAAAAUUUUAUUCCUAAGAACUUCAUAUACCCUAGAUCAUAUUUAACGUUGUAGAUCGUUAAUUUGAACACUCUAAGAUCGAAAACAAGACUAUAGAACCGGCGCUCCGAUACUAUAGAUAGUAUAGCGGCCUAAUUCUAUAUAUAUAUAUAGAGUUCGGCUGUGAUACUAUCGAUAGCUCCAAGGAUUUGGUGCUAUCAAGUUUUCAACCGUUAGAUUUAACUCUUUUAUUAUUUUUACCUGUUAGAUUAUACUAUUUAACAAACUAUCUAUUCAAACCCAAGGGGUCCACAUCAUACUAACCGCAUAUUUCUCAAUUGAAGGACUAAAAAAUUAAUAGCACCAAUAGCUUCGUGCUAUUAAUAGCAUUUCAGCCUAGUUAUAUAUAUAUAUAUAUAUG